rnacentral:ncRNA from 2 species
GGCAAGGGGUGCAUCGCGACGACCCCGUGAGGCGUCAGCCCAACGUUCGCGUCCAAGCUUCUCUCUCAAGGAGGGUGGACGCCAUG